rnacentral:rRNA from 1 species
AGAGAUUAAAUUAUACUAAUUUAGGUGAAAAGGUGGUUAAAUAUAUUAUUUUUUAUUAGUUUAAUGAUUUAUUAUACAAGGGUAAAAUCUAUUUAUAAUCAAAUAAUCUAAUUUAAACUAAAAUAUUGAAUCUACGAUAGCCUUAGGGGAAACUGGGAUUAGAUACCCCAUUAUUUCUGGCUGUAAAUUAACAAAAGUUUACCUGAGUACUAUGAACAAUAUGAAGUUUAAAACUCAAAGGGCUUGGCGGUGUUCUAGACCCCUCAGGGGAACCUGUCUCAUAAUCGACAAUCCGCGCUGUACCCAACCUUUAUUUGUAAAUCAGUUUGCAUACCGUCGUCGUCGGGUAACUUUUAAAAAAUUAGAAGUUAGCAAUUAAAUAAUGUGAAUUUAAACGUCAGAUCAAGGUGCAGCCCAUAUAAAGGUGAGGAUGGGUUACAAUUAAAAUUCAUAACUACGAAUAAAAUAGUGAAAUUUUAUUUUAAUGAAGGAGGACUUGAAAGUAAAAUAAAUUAGAUAGACAAUUUGAAUUUGGCUCUGAAACAUGC